rnacentral:misc_RNA from 1 species
GUUUUGUUAUGACAAUUUUAUGAAUUAAUAAUAUUUAAGAAUUAGUUCUCUCUUCAAAGAUUGGUCCUUAUUUUUUCUUCUCUUUGGUUCUUUCCCUUGCACAACACUCAAAGUACUUGCAGAGGAAAACGCCAGAACUAGAACCAUCAGCUUGACAUGGGUUAUCGCCAAACUUGAUUAUUUUGCAUUGCUUAGGUCAAUGGAGUCCUCCAAUAAUUGAAACAUUAUAGGUUUCCAAAUUGUGCUCUAUAGAAUAAAAAAUGUAAAUAUUCUUUCUUUCUAAGUCAGCACAAGCUCCAAAGAAGUGCUCCAUAAGUAGCAUUGAAAAAAAGAUCUUUUUGUGCUUUUUAUUAUGAUAAAAAAUAUAAAUAUUCUUCCUUUCUAGGUCAGCACAAGCUCUAAAAAAGUGCUCCAUAAGUAGCAUUGAAAAAAA